UACGGGGGGGGCAAGCGUUGUCCGGAAUUACUGGGCGUAAAGGGCGUGUAGGCGGAUAGGUCAGUCGAUGGUGAAAUCCUACAGCUUAACUGUAGAAUUGCCUUUGAUACUGCUUAUCUUGAGUUCGGGAGAGGGAAGCGGAAUUCCUGGUGUAGCGGUGAAAUGCGUAGAUAUCAGGAAGAACACCGGUAGCGAAGGCAGCUUCCUGGCCCGAUACUGACGCUGAAGCGCGAAAGCGUGGGGAGCAAACAGGAUUAGAUACCCCCGUA
rnacentral:rRNA from 1 species